rnacentral:tRNA from 1 species
GCGGGAUUAGUUCAGUGGCAGAACGAGUGCUUCCCAAGCAUUAGGCGCGAGUCCGAUUCUCGCAUCCCGCACCA